AUUGAACGCUGGCGGCAGGCUUUACACAUGCAAGUCGAACGAGUGGCGGACGGGUGAGUAAUGUAUGGGAACCUGCCUAGUGGUGGGGGAUAACUACUGGAAAGGGUAGCUAAUACCGCAUACUAUCGGAUCUGCCCAGAUGGGAUUAGCUAGUAGGUGGGGUAAAGGCCCACCAAGGCGACGAUCCCUAGCUGGUCUGAGAGGAUGACCAGCCACACUGGAACUGAGACACGGUCCAGACUCCUACGGGAGGCAGCAGUGGGGAAUAUUGGACAAUGGGCGCAAGCCUGAUGCAGCCAUGCCGCGUGUAUGAAGAAGGCCUUCGGGUUGUAAAGUACUUUUAGCGGGGAGGCGGUACCCGCAGAAUAAGCACCGGCUAACUCCGUGCCAGCAGCCGCGGUAAUAC
rnacentral:rRNA from 1 species